UACGGAGGGUGCAAGCGUUAUCCGGAUUCACUGGGCUUAAAGGGUGCGUAGGCGGAUACGUAAGUCCGUGGUGAAAUCUCUGGGCUUAACCCGGAAACUGCCAUGGAUACUAUGUGUCUUGAAUGUUGUUGAGGUGAGCGGAAUAUGUCAUGUAGCGGUGAAAUGCUUAGAUAUGACAUAGAACACCAAUUGCGAAGGCAGCUCACUAAGCAAAUAUUGACGCUGAGGCACGAAAGCGUGGGGAUCAAACAGG
rnacentral:rRNA from 1 species